rfam:Lupinus angustifolius cultivar Tanjil contig_21276, whole genome shotgun sequence.
UUGUGCCUGGCUCCCUGUAUGCCAUUUGCAAAGCUCAUCACAGUGGUGAUGCCUUUAUGAAUGGCGUACGAGGAGUCAAGCAUGU